AUGGGCAGCUGCAUCAUGUUCUGGUCCAGACAAACCCACCACGGAGCUCCACUGGAGGUCCUCACCAAAUGCGACCAGGCAGCGUGCUUCCAGUCGUCCGUCGACCUCCCCGAGAACAAGUUCUCUCUUCUGAUGACUGAGCUGCUCCUGAAUGACAGCAGCACCUACUUCUGUGCUCGCUGUGUCUAUUACGACGCAGCCUAUUUCGGCCAGGGAACGAAACUGACGGUUCUCGAACCUGGACAUGACGUCAGCGGGCCGACAGUCAAAGUGCUUCGCCCUUCACCAAAGGAGUGUCAAAGCCACGGAGACCAGGAGAAGAAGAAGAAGACCAUCGUGUGUGUGGCCAGUGGGUUCUACCCAGACCACGUCGGCGUGCUCUGGAAGGUCGACGGGGUGGAGGUCACCACCGGGGUGGCGACCGACAGCGCCGCUCUCCGGCACGGCAAGUCUUACAGGAUCAGCAGCAGGCUGAGGGUCUCUGCCAACGACUGGUUCACAGACCACAAAGAGUUCACCUGCAGCGUCCGCUUCUUCAACGGGACGCACACGGAGCUCUACUCACACUCCAUCCUGGGGGGGAAAGAACCUGGACAUGACGUCAGCGGGCCGACAGUCAAAGUGCUUCGCCCUUCACCAAAGGAGUGUCAAAGCCACGGAGACCAGGAGAAGAAGAAGACCAUCGUGUGUGUGGCCAGUGGGUUCUACCCAGACCACGUCGGCGUGCUCUGGAAGGUCGACGGGGUGGGGGUCACCACCGGGGUGGCGACCGACAGCGCCGCUCUCCGGCACGGCAAGUCUUACAGGAUCAGCAGCAGGCUGAGGGUCUCUGCCAACGACUGGUUCACAGACCACAAAGAGUUCACCUGCAGCGUCCGCUUCUUCAACGGGACGCACACGGAGCUCUACUCACACUCCAUCCUGGGGGGGAAAGAACCUGGACAUGACGUCAGCGGGCCGACAGUCAAAGUGCUUCGCCCUUCACCAAAGGAGUGUCAAAGCCACGGAGACCAGGAGGAGAACAAGACCAUCGUGUGUGUGGCCAGUGGGUUCUACCCAGACCACGUCGGCGUGCUCUGGAAGGUCGACGGGGUGGAGGUCACCACCGGGGUGGCGACCGACAGCGCCGCUCUCCGGCACGGCAAGUCUUACAGGAUCAGCAGCAGGCUGAGGGUCUCUGCCAACGACUGGUUCACAGACCACAAAGAGUUCACCUGCAGCGUCCGCUUCUUCAACGGGACGCACACGGAGCUCUACUCACACUCCAUCCUGGGGGGGAAAGAACCUGGACAUGACGUCAGCGGGCCGACAGUCAAAGUGCUUCGCCCUUCACCAAAGGAGUGUCAAAGCCACGGAGACCAGGAGAAGAAGAAGACCAUCGUGUGUGUGGCCAGUGGGUUCUACCCAGACCACGUCGGCGUGCUCUGGAAGGUCGACGGGGUGGAGGUCACCACCGGGGUGGCGACCGACUGCGCCGCUCUCCGGCACGGCAAGUCUUACAGGAUCAGCAGCAGGCUGAGGGUCUCUGCCAACGACUGGUUCACAGACCAAGAGUUCACCUGCAGCGUCCGCUUCUUCAACGGGACGCACACGGAGCUCUACUCACACUCCAUCCUGGGGAAAGGAGCGCUGACCAGAGAGAAAUAUCUGAGGAUCGCACAGACGGCCAAACUGUCCUACGGGGUUCUCAUCGUCAAGAGCGGCGUCUACGGAGCCUUUGUGGCGUUUCUUGUGUGGAGGCUUCAGAGUUCAGCCGGGAAGCAGAGCGACUGAGAGCUGAGGCCUGGACAGAAGUUCAUCGAGUAGAUCGUUGUGUGUUGCACUCAAAUGAACUAGAGGAGCAGUUGUGUCUCUGUUUUUAAAACUGCCAUGCAAAUACUUUGGCCUCACAUUUUUUUUCUAUAAAGGAGGAAUGUCGUGGAACGCACGUUUGCUUAUUUUCCGUCUAAAUAAAAGUUUUUCAGAGGA